rnacentral:rRNA from 1 species
UACAGAGGUCUCAAGCGUUGUUCGGAUUCAUUGGGCGUAAAGAGCGUGUAGGCGGCCAAGCAGGUCCGUUGUGAAAACUGGAGGCUCAACCUUCAGACGUCGACCCAAACCCCCCUGGCUAGAGUCCGGAAGAGGAGAGUGGAAUUCCUGGUGUAGCGGUGAAAUGCGCAGAUAUCAGGAAGAACACCCGUGGCGAAGGCGGCUCUCUGGGACGGUACUGACGCUGAGACGCGAAAGCGUGGGGAGCGAACAGG